rnacentral:rRNA from 1 species
UACGAAGGGGGCUAGCGUUGCUCGGAAUCACUGGGCGUAAAGCGCACGUAGGCGGCUUUUUAAGUCAGGGGUGAAAUCCUGGAGCUCAACUCCAGAACUGCCUUUGAUACUGAGAAGCUUGAGUCCGGGAGAGGUGAGUGGAAUUCCUAGUGUAGAGGUGAAAUUCGUAGAUAUUCGGAAGAACACCAGUGGCGAAGGCGGCUCACUGGUCCGGUACUGACGCUGAUGUGCGAAAGCGUGGGGAGCAAACAGG